UCUGUGAGUGGGCCUUCACUUUCCGUGUCUCCCCGUCCCAAUACUCCGGACCCUCCUGCUCUAUCCACGGCGCCCGCGGCUCCAUCCUCUGGCUCGCGGCGUCGCUGUCGAACCGCACGAACUGCGUGUCGUCCACGUAGCCCACUGCGAUGAAGCGGGGCUCCCCGCGGCCGGGCCGGGACACGGAUGUGAAGAAAUACCUCAUGGAGUGAGAGCCCGCCCAGGUCUGGGUCAGGGCCAGAGCCCCCGAGAGUAGCAGGACGAGGGUUCGGGGCGCCAUGACGGCCAUCCUCG
rnacentral:misc_RNA from 1 species